GGCAAAUCUAAUAGAAUCUGUCUUAUUUCUAAUAAGUAUAGAUUUCUAUUUGUUAUAAAGAUGCUAGUCCUUUCAUGAUUAUGUGAUAGGUGGUGCAUGGCCGUUCUUAGUUCGUGGAGUGAUCUGUCUGCUUAAUUGCGUUUCACUAAGGUCCCAGUAAUCUAAGGUAUGCUCGUCUACUUAUCUCAUAUGACGCUGAUAGACCCCUCGUAAGAGCGCGUUGUCUAUUGCGUUAAUAUAUGUAACAAGUGACACAUACUGUUGGGAUCUGAAAGCAACGAACGUGACCGCAACGUCUUGUUGCCUUUCUAAUUUAUUCUAAUUCUUUUGUAAUUAGUUUAAUAACAAAGGCUAUUCUUUAAACUAGACGGACCGCUGUUUCUCUUUUAAACCAGAGGAAGGUUGCGGCAAUAACAGGUCUGUGAUGC
rnacentral:rRNA from 1 species